GUCCUUAGAUGGCAUAGUGUGAAUCCAUGUGAAUUCUGCAAGAUUGUUCCAUUGUGUAUCUCACACUGGCCAGACUUUUUAUUUUUGUAACACAGUGUAAAAGAACUCUAAAAAUGGGAAUAAAAACUCCAAAUAUCUGGGUAGUUCCUACUCAGGAUUGUCUAAUGAAAGUUUUAGCUUUGUACCAAUAUAGAGGAAACCUGUACCACUGGCAUAUCACACUGGCCUCAGCCACCUGGACAGUCCACUAUUACCGAAUUGCCAGGUCUUGUCUUCC